CGUAAACGCUUUACGAAGGCGGAAUUCGUCCCUCUCUCUUUCUCCUCCGCGACCUCUCUUGUCUCCAUGGCCGCCAAGAGGAAGCCCGGCAGGUCGCUGGCGGCGGCGGCGAAUGCGCAGGCGUAGGGGCACCUCUCCUCGCGCUCCUUCGCCGACCUCACCACCUCGGCCUCCACCCCACACUCUGCACCCGCCUCCAAGUCCAAGGGGAGAUUGGAGUCUGGCAUAGAGAGAGAAAGAGACAGGCUUCGGGAAAGGGGGAGAACAGAGAAGAUACAGUUCAGAGGAUACAGACUGUCUAUUCACACUGCUGACAUAAUCUCGUCCACGUCUUUGUUGAGAAAAAAACUGUACAUAUGAUUUUCGAAUUUCCAAUCUGAAUGAUCAAAAUGGUAUUCGUAGUUUAAGAAGUACUCCUACCAAGUUGUGAUAUGGAGGGAGUAGAAGUUUGACAGAAGACAUGUCCAAAACGUCACCCACCAAGUUGUGAUAUGGAGAGAGUAAUAAUAUGUCAACAUUACUGCAUUCUAUUGGUUUCCAGUUUAGAUUAAGUCCAGUUGCCGUCUUCAAAUCAGAAAUUACAAUCCUCUCAUCUUCCAUAUCGCCAGUUUGGAGAGGUAUUCAGCGCAAUUACCCACUUUACAGCAAAUCAGUGUCUAGCAGCCAACCGCGGUCUUCAACAGCAAAGAAUUCCUCAUGCCAAAACGUGUUCUUCAUGUAUGCUAUUAUCCUUAAGAUGGCUGGAUCGACAGGAAGCUGCUGGAACCCGGCCUUGAGGCACCUUGCGUGCCACUGUCGUUCCCGUGUCGUUGCGAUCGUGAGGAUUCGUUCGUCUUCGUGGCUUCAUCUUCUUCAUGGAUUCGUUCU